rnacentral:rRNA from 1 species
UACGGGGGGGGGCUAGCGUUGUUCGGAAUUACUGGGCGUAAAGGGCGCGUAGGCGGUCUACUAAGUUGGAUGUGAAAACUCUGGGCUUAACCCAGAGCCUGCAUUCAAAACUGAUAGGCUAGAGUUCUGGAGGGGAUAGCGGAAUUCCUGGUGUAGCGGUGAAAUGCGUAGAUAUCUGGAGGAACACCGGUGGCGAAGGCGGCAUCCUGGACCAAUAUUGACGCUGAGGAGCGAAAGCCAGGGGAGCAAACGGG